ACUGACUCCUUGACAACAAAAAACACAUAAAAUAAAACCCUAAACCCUGCGAUUGUUUGAACGAAGGAAGAAGAGAAGAAUGGGAAAAGUUCCUCCUUCAUUUCGUUCAGCAUUAUCCAAUCCAAACUUGUUUAACCGAUCUCAAUUGGUUCCAUCCAAUUCUUCUCCCAAACCCCAAUAUUUUCCCAAGAAAAACCCUCCCCCAAAAUCCCGUAAACCUAUUCUUCCUCCAAAACCAAAAUCCAUCUCUCUAUUCAAAUCCCCAAAUCUCCAAGACGCCAAAAAUAUCUUCAAUUCCAUCCUUAAAACCUCAAAAGCCGCCAAUGAUUCCCGCUUCCACAAUUCCCUUCUUCAAUCCUACGCUUCUAUUUCCACCAUUAACGAUUCAAUCGCUUUUCUUCUUCAUAUGACAAAGACUCAUCCUUCAUUCUCCCCUGACAAAUCCACUUACCAUAUCUUGCUUACUCAAUCAUGCAAAUCCUCUGAUUCCACACUUUCCCCAAUUCAUCAAAUCCUAAAUUUGAUGGUUUCUCAUGGCCUCACUCCUGAUCAAGUUACUGUUGAUUUAUCUGUUAGGGCACUUUGUUCCGCUGAUCGUGUUGACGAUGCUGUUCAAUUGAUCUUAGAAUUGUCUUCCAAGCAUUGUUGCCCUGACAUUUACACUUUCAAUUUCCUUGUUAAGAAUCUCUGUAAGUCUCGCACUUUGAGUACUGUCUAUAAUUUCAUUGAUGAAAUGCGUACUACAUUCGAUGUCAAGCCUGAUCUUGUUACUUAUACUAUUUUGAUUGAUAAUGUAUGUAACACUAAGAAUUUGCGUGAGGCAAUGAGGUUAGUGGAGAUUCUCGAUAAGGAAGGUUUUAAGCCGGAUCGUUUUCUUUACAAUACAAUUAUGAAAGGUUUUUGUAUGUUGGGUAGAGGGACUGAGGCAGUUGAAAUUUAUAAUAAAAUGAAGGAGAAAGGGGUGGAGCCUGAUCUUGUAACUUAUAACACUUUGAUUUAUGGCUUAUCAAAAUCUGGACGGGUCUCGGAAGCUAAGAAGUUAUUGCGUGUUAUGGUGGAAAGGGGUCAUUUCCCUGAUGAGAUAACUUAUACGACUUUGAUGAAUGGGAUGUGCAGGAAAGGUGAGACCUUGGUUGCUUUAGCAUUGUUGGAAGAGAUGGAAAGGAAGGGCUGCACUCCAAAUUCGUGCACGUAUAAUACGCUGUUACAUGGGUUGUGUAAGUCUAGGAUCUUUGAUAAGGCCAUGGAAUUGUAUGGUGUGAUGAAAUCCGGUGAUUUGAAGCUUGAUAUGGCUUCUUAUGCUACAUUUGUCAGGGCUCUAUGUAGCGUUGGUAGAAUUGCAGAUGCUUAUGAAGUGUUUGAUUAUGCAGUUGAAAGCAAGAGUUUGACAGACGUUGCUGCUUACUCAACAUUGGAGAGCACGCUUAAAUGGUUCAAGAAAGCAAAAGAAGAAGGCCUUCAAGUUUAAUCGAAUGUUAAUGGGCCGCUGGAAGUGCUGUUGAAGCUUCGUUUAGAGUUCAUUUGGAAUACCUGUCUAGAACAUUUGCAUUGCUGGAUCAGCUGGGUUUAACAGAAAGUUGGAUGAAUAUAGCUCAAGAGUGAGUGUGGUCUUUCCCGUUUACAAAAUUUGGUACUUCCAAGUGUACACAUUCCACUGUAUAAACACUGCUACAGUAUGUAGUGCUUCCAAUGUGAUACUUCUUUUAUUGUCAUCUCUAUUCUAAGCGAAACUUUAGGAGGUUUGUGUCAAUGCUGGCAAGGAUGUAGAAGUUAAUUUCAAAGGUUACAGUCCUUACUCAAUACAGUGCAUUCCAAAGCCGCUAAUACAAUUUUUGUAUGUACUUGAUUACAAGUAUAAUUUUCCCAGUUUUUUCUGUAAUAUUUUGUUCCAGCGAGCCCCUGUAAGCAGUUAUUUUUAAUUUAUCAAUAUUCAUUUCAGUGUCAUACGCUUUUCUUGUACCAUUGUAUUUGUAUUGUCUUUGUAUGCGACGCGCAUAUAGAUAUGAAAUCAUAAAUACUUUUUCAAUCAUAUAAGAAAGAUGAUUGAGAUAUGAGGAGAGGAAGUUAGGAUACUGGCUCUUUGUGCUUGUGUUUUCUUUUUUGUGUUUGUGGCUGUGCAUGAGAGAGAAGGAGAUAUAAACUUCUAUCAUUCUGCCUA